rnacentral:rRNA from 1 species
UAGGGAAUCUUGCGCAAUGGGCGAGAGCCUGACGCAGCCAUGCCGCGUGAAUGAUGAAGGUCUUAGGAUUGUAAAAUUCUUUCACCGGGGACGAUAAUGACGGUACCCGGAGAAGAAGCCCCGGCUAACUUCGUGCCAGCAGCCGCGGUAAUACGAAGGGGGCUAGCGUUGCUCGGAAUUACUGGGCGUAAAGGGAGCGUAGGCGGAUAGUUUAGUCAGAGGUGAAAGCCCAGGGCUCAACCUUGGAAUUGCCUUUGAUACUGGCUAUCUUGAGUAUGGGAGAGGUAUGUGGAACUCCGAGUGUAGAGGUGAAAUUCGUAGAUAUUCGGAAGAACACCAGUGGCGAAGGCGACAUACUGGCCCAUUACUGACGCUGAGGCUCGAAAGCGUGGGGAGCAAACAGGAUUAGAUACCCUGGUAGUCCACGCCGUAAACGAUGAGUGCUAGUUGUCGGCAUGCAUGCAUGUCGGUGACGCAGCUAACGCAUUAAGCACUCCGCCUGGGGAGUACGGUCGCAAGAUUAAAACUCAAAGGAA